UGGGGAAUAUUGCACAAUGGGCGGAAGCCUGAUGCAGCGACGCCGCGUGAGGGAUGAAGGCCUUCGGGUUGUAAACCUCUUUCGACAGGGACGAAGCGCAAGUGACGGUACCUGGAGAAGAAGCGCCGG
rnacentral:rRNA from 1 species